GUCAAACAUGGAAAUAGUUCACAUAGUUUUUCCACCAUUCAUUUUUCCCACAGGGCUGUGUUUUGUUUAGGCUCACCGUGGUGUGAUGUUUUGAUAACCAUGUAAAUCUCUCUAGGACAAGGUGACUGAGGGUGAAUGUACACUAGAUAAAUAGCGGUAAAUUGCUGUGUGCCGCUUAGGCCGCCCGUUGUGACUCCGGCAAGAAUUCAGCAGAACAAGUUUGUAUGUAGGUCUGGUUAUUAAAUGGGUACAUAGUUCAUUAGUAAUAUCCUCUAAAACGCUCUGGUGACAAACUUUGCUGCCCUAUUUCCAGUUGUCCAAAUGGCUGGGAGAACCUAUUCAAGUAGCUAGCUAACAGCCAUGGAGGGUGAAAGGAUAGCAGCCCCAACUGUCAGUGAGAGAGGAGAGAGGAGGCUAUUCUGGAUAAGGCAGGUACUUUUGUGUAGUUCCUGUUCCUAGAAGUGAGGACUAAGAUAAUAGUAACAUAAUAUUCAGUGUGGUGUAAUUUGACUAGAAUGAAAUCUGUUUCUUGUGAGGUUUUCUGUCCUCAGAUAAAGAGCGCUAUGAAAGCCAGUCUACAUAUGAAGAGGUCCCAAUGAAGAGCAGUGGUUCUCAGUCCUGGGGACUCAAAGAGGGGCAUAUUGUUGUUUUUGCCUCAGCACUGCACAGCUGAUUCAAAUGAUAAACUCAUUAUCAAGCUUCAAGUGAUACCUUGUAACUGGAGAUUCCUUCAAAACAUUUGCCUACAGUUACCGUGUAGGGCACUGCAAGGUCAGGUGACCAGGGUGUGAAGGCUACCGGUGUCCUGCGUAACUUCAUGAAGAUGGACUCUAGGACCAGGAGAGGACCUGCAGCUCACCGCCAAGUGCCAGAGAAGUCUGCUGCUCUGCAGGAUUGUUCAGUCAUUUUUUUAUCAAUGUUCAUAAAUUCCAAUUAUCUUUAUCUGUCUGAUACCCAGAGGUUGUAAAGUUCUGGUCUUAAAUAAAACAGACAGAAUUCCCAGCUCACAGUUGAUCAGAUCCAAGUUUAUUUGCGAGAGCUCUGCCGUGCAUACACAAAUACGUUCCUUUUAUAACAUUCUAACCUACGCACAUACAUACACACAAACAUAGGGAUUUUCUCACGAGUCUCACCACAGUUUAUAACCACUCAGCUGACAGUUCCAGUCUCCCCCAGAUACUAGAGCUCUGGAGGGGCUCUCCCUGUCCUAUCUUAUCUCUCCAGAGUUACAGCCAGGUCGGUUCAAACAUAGGUUAAUGCUCCUCUUCAUUCUCUUUCUACACCCACAUACAUUCCUUUCUUCCUAGAUCUAUGCUACAUAACCCCUUCCUAAUGAACAAACAUUAUUUAACACUACUAGAAAUACAGGGUAGAAUUCUGUUAGUUAUAAUUCUACAUUAACUGUAUACAUUAUUUAGUAAUUAUUCAUUAAAAAAAUCCCGUAACAAGAAUGUUUCAAGGAUGGGGUCCAUCAACGCAGCAAGAGAGGCAAUCCGUGUGCAAGAGAUCUUCACCUCCUACUUCUUCAAAGAGGGUGUUGUUCCCUGGCAACACCAUAGACUACACUAUGCACAACCAAAGGCUCUUUUGAGAGCCAUUCACAUUGCAAUAAGAGUAUUCUUCCAUUUACUUAGCUAUGUUAACUGCAGUUAUUCCAUUCCUAGUUUCUCUCCCUUUGAUUUCUACUUCUCAAGUGAGGGUGCUGUUUA